CUUGCUCACUUAUAAAAAGCUUAUUUCUCUUGGAAUUAAGCUCAUCAAGGCUUGAUUGGAUCCAUCCAUCUUCCCGUGACCUGUAGAAAAGUAUAAUUUUUAUUUUAUCUGGGGUUUUUUGUUGUUAAUAAAGGAGUGACAGUCUUUAGCAUCCUUCUACAUCCUGACCAGAAGCAGAAGUCUCAAAGGAAGAGGAUUGUUAUGUAAACACAAUGCUCUGGACUGGCGCAUCACUGUGUGACCCCGGUGUCUGAGAGGAUACUGGAACUGGCCAUGGAUCUGGUCCAAAGUGACAUCACUCAUGGAAUUCAAUCGAGUCAGCAAAAUUAAGGUUCUGAUUUGUGCUGGAGCGAGUGUGAAUGACUGACACAAGCUGUCAGUUAAAAUUUGACUGUGGCAUGAUUCGUUGCAGAACAUGAGAUUAUUAGAGAUAUUCUGAAUAAAGAAAAGUCUUCCAAGAUGCUUUUGGAAAACGGACCAUUUCCUUGAAACUCACCUCUGGGACCCUAAGAUCACCUCUGAGCUCUCAUCCUUGUAUGUCUUCAUGAACUCCUCUGAACAUGAUCGCAUUUUCUUUUUCAAUAUUCCUGAACCAGGUUGUCUUGGGGUUGAAACGAAUACAUAGCCUCUUAGCCUGCCAUGCCUGCAUGGGCACCCAUUUGGGUCUUCUCCAUCAUUCCCUGGACAUGAUUCUUCAUUUUAGCAUCACAGAGGCUGCUGACAGCUCUAACGAUUAUGCUUGAAGACAAAACCUAAAUUACCCUAAUCAGCCCGCACUGAGGCUGGCAGGUAUGCAGUGCUGUCACAGCUAGUUGGUGAUAUACAAUCUGCCAUGAACAGAGCUCUUUUUCAGCUGCUCUGGCAGGGCCACCUGCCGUCUGUGCCCCACUUCCUGCCAGGAAGCUCUGUGACCUUCAGCCGCCAAAGCCAAGUGAUUAGAAAACUGGUAGCAUUCGUGCCAGGAGCUUGGUCUCUGGGGGUUUUGUUUGCCGCCGGCGGAGAAUCAGGAAGCUCCAGAAAAGAACCACAGAGAAGUGUUCUUA
rnacentral:lncRNA from 1 species